ensembl:snoRNA SNORA73 Small nucleolar RNA SNORA73 family
CCAACAUGGACACCCCCGGGAGGUCGCUCUCCCCGGGGCUUUGUCCAGGUGGCGCAGGGGAGCACAGGGCUCUGCCCCAUGAUGUACGGUCCCUUUCCACAGCGUUGGAGAGAAAGCCAGGCCUUGGGCCUGCGCCUGCAUAUUCCUACAACUUCUCAGAGUCCUGUGGACAAUGACUGAGGAGAUAAACCAGGCAGGAAACAUCU